UACGAAGGGUGCUAGCGUUGUUCGGAAUUACUGGGCGUAAAGCGCGCGUAGGCGGCUUGGAAAGUUGGGAGUGAAAUCCCGGGGCUUAACCUCGGAAUUGCUUUCAAAACUGCCGAGCUAGAGUAUGGUAGGGGAUAGUGGAAUUCCUAGUGUAGAGGUGAAAUUCGUAGAUAUUAGGAGGAACACCAGAGGCGAAGGCGGCUAUCUGGACCAUUACUGACGCUAAGGCGCGAAAGCGUGGGGAGCAAACAGG
rnacentral:rRNA from 1 species